GCCGAUCCCCAGUCUAGCGGCUGUGUUUCGCUCGACCGGAUGCGGUCAACGUGUCUUCGACCGAUUGAAUCUCGCUCUCUCGGAACUAGAGGGACGCGUAGGUGUAUCGAGCAGUCUCGGUUCUUUCGCGUGUUUUUGGCACGACGGAGAUCGGUGAAAGCCAAUCUUGCUGAGGGAAAGAACUCGAUUCGUCAACCGUUUACACAUCGUCGAUCACCUUUGUUUUAAUGUAAUUGCCGUUUAUUUGGACGAUUUUAUAUAGAAUUUAUGUAGUUUUGUUGGAAAACUGGUCAAGUUGUGCAGUGUCGUGACCAUUUCCAUGUCGCUGAUUUCAAAGGAGGAAUAAUACGCUUGACGGAUUACUUUUAGUGCCCUUAAGGCGGAUGCGUGGGAUUGGCGCGCAAUGAUUCUUUAUGGGUGUGCUUCUACUACUACUUUCGUCUUUUGCUGAUCGGAUGUGACCACUGUGUCCACUCUUCUAUUUUACACGUUCACUGGUUUCAACAAAUGCUGAUUCAAACUUAACCUAAAUCAUUCAAAACUUUAUAACUUCUUACUCCAUACUAUUCAGGACAUAAACAUUAUUGUAUGAAUGAAGUUAAUUUUCAAAGUUAAUAUUAUUCGUUAAGUACUAGGAUCUUUUAUAAAUUGUUUUAGAGACAUUUUUACAGAUAUGUAAUCAAAUGUAACGACUAUAUAAAAAUAUCUAUUUGCAAUCAUUUGAUGUAUAUCUGUAAAUAUGUUAGAAAUGAAUUUUUUGCCAGAUAUUCCAUUAAAUAAUAUACCUAAUGAAUUUGAUAAAAUAUGAAAAUAUUUGAUAGUCAAACGCUUCAAAUGUAAAGAUUGUUCGAUUUAUCGCUUCGCUUGUGUUAAAUGUAGCGAAAAUUAUGUCAGGAUUAUAUGAGGUAAUAAAUUAACGCAUUCUAGAAAUUUGCUUACUGUAUUCUAAUCAUAUAAGAGUAAAUGUUUGCAUCGGAAAUUCUGUCCUUCAUGGAUAGAGGUUAAAGGUAUGUAGGCUAACGGUAUAUGUAUAUAUACGUAUAUAUAUAUAGAAAUAAAAAAGACAACGAAAAGAACUAGGAGGAAGCUGCGUUUACGUUAUGAAGCUAAUUUCUGUUUAAAUACCAUAAUUUUGUUAAAUAUUAUUUGAUAAAUUAUCUUAGGAAUUGUGAUGAAUUAAAAAUUUGUAUUAUAUAGAAAACUAUAUAAAUGUAAGAUUUUCUAUUUUUUAAAUAUUUGUGCUAUUAUACAUUAGAUGGAAUUAAUAACGUAAACAAAUUGAAUUAUAUGAGUAAUUUAAUUAUGUUUUCUAUAAUGAGGAUAAUAAAUUGGCCAAAUUUGUAUUACAGGUAGUAAAAGCAAUGUGGAAAAGUAUAUUCCGAUCGAUUAUGUUAAUUAUUAAUUAAUAUAAAUUGUUAACUUAGAUUUUCUAUUGCUAUUAAGCAGGUUUGAACAAGGAAUAAGAAUUAGGGGAAAAAGUUAAAAAUAAGGAAUAUAAAUACAUUUUUGCUUGGUUAUAUACAUAUCCAAAAGCUUACUUAUCAAAAUAAGUAUUUAAUAAACCGUGCAUACUGUAUUUUCGAACAAAAAGAAAAAUAAAAGAAUAAUAAAAUAGAAUUUUCCAUUUUCACGUACAGUAACAAGUUAAUGUUACACAAUUUCCUAAAAAUAAAGUACGAUGAUAAUUAAUCGUAAAACAUGAUGAUAAUUUCUGCAUGAAUAUUUUGUGCGCAUUGCGUGUAAAUUUUACUAUAUAUCUAUUUUAUAAUUUACAACGCAAAGUGCAACAUCCCUGUCUCUGCACGUACAAAUAAUACAAGCAUAAAUAAUAUUUAUAGACCAAAAUAUUAAUUAAAUACAAAUAUAAAAAAUACUGCAUUUUAGAUAGAGUCAAAAAAUGUUAAAUCUUUUAAAUGAAUAUUAUAUAUUUAAUAAUAUAAAUAAUGUAAUACUUAAAUAUCAAUGAAUAUCAGUCAAUGCGAACAUCUCAAUU